GCUGCUGUUUGCUCUUCCUGCACAGUAUUUUGUAUCCCAGUGGUAUGGAACAGACUCUUUGAACGCAUCCAAAUAAUAGAGAGGAUCAACUCAAGUUCGUAGUCCAAGGCCUGAAUAUGGUCAGUUCCAUGCGGGACAGGUAAUAAGUCACAAAAGAUUUGGCUAUUCAGGAGUCAUUGUCGGACGGAAUGUAAAAGCUGACACUCCAGAAGAAUGGCUUCAACCCAAAUAUCCUCCAAGGAAACAGGAUCUAAAAAAUACUCCUCACUAUCGAAUUCUAAUUAACAAAGCAAAUGGAUUUGGCAAAUCUACAGCUUACGUUCCUGAGAAGAGAUAAUAAUUAUUAUGGGAUUAGAGGUGCAUCACCCUGAUAUGGAAACCUACUUCAGAGGAUAUGAUGGAUCAAAAUACAUCAUGCAGCCAUGGUUGAAAAAACUCUUAUCCUCAUGACUGAGUACUUCAGUGUCUGUACAUGUAUUAUACAUCCAGACAACAGGUGUCCUUUUUAAACUUGAGCAAACAGACACCAGGAUAAAAUGUAUAAUUUUUCCUAUGAUGAAAUAAAACAU